CUACGGGUUGCACCAGUGGGGAAUAUUGCACAAUGGAGGAAACUCUGAUGCAGCAACGCCGCGUGGAGGAUGACACUUUUCGGAGCGUAAACUCCUUUUAUAUAGGAAGAAGAUGACGGUACUAUAUGAAUAAGCGCCGGCUAGACUCCGUGCCAGCAGCCGCGGUAAUACGGAGGGCGCAAGCGUUACUCGGAAUCACUGGGCGUAAAGAGCGUGUAGGCGGAUUAAAAAGUCAGAAGUGAAAUCCUAUAGCUUAACUAUAGAACUGCUUCUGAAACUCUUAAUCUAGAAUAUGGGAGAGGUAGAUGGAAUUUCUGGUGUAGGGGUAAAAUCCGUAGAGAUCAGAAGGAAUACCGAUUGCGAAGGCGAUCUACUAGAACAUUAUUGACGCUGAGACGCGAAAGCGUGGGGAGCAAACAGGAUUAGAUACCCGCGUAGUC
rnacentral:rRNA from 1 species